rnacentral:rRNA from 1 species
AGUGAACGCUGGCGGUAGGCCUAACACAUGCAAGUCGAACGGCAGCACAGGAGAGCUUGCUCUCUGGGUGGCGAGUGGCGGACGGGUGAGGAAUACAUCGGAAUCUACUUUUUCGUGGGGGAUAACGUAGGGAAACUUACGCUAAUACCGCAUACGACCUACGGGUGAAAGCAGGGGAUCUUCGGACCUUGCGCGUUUGAAUGAGCCGAUGUCGGAUUAGCUAGUUGGCGGGGUAAAGGCCCACCAAGGCGACGAUCCGUAGCUGGUCUGAGAGGAUGAUCAGCCCCACUGGAACUGAGACACGGUCCAGACUCCUACGGGAGGCAGCAGUGGGGAAUAUUGGACAAUGGGCGCAAGCCUGAUCCAGCCAUACCGCGUGGGUGAAGAAGGCCUUCGGGUUGUAAAGCCCUUUUGUUGGGAAAGAAAUCCAGCUGGUUAAUACCCGGUUGGGAUGACGGUACCCAAAGAAUAAGCACCGGCUAACUUCGUGCCAGCAGCCGCCGUAA